rnacentral:lncRNA from 1 species
AUGGAGGCCCUGCCCUCCUCCGUGGAGUGGUACGCCCUAUGGUUUCCUUUGACGCAGGCGGGCGUUUGGAAGGUGUGGCUGUGUGAGUUCUGGCUGCUACUGCUGGGUUCCGGUUUGAAAGCGCAUCUUUUGCCGGACGAGGAGGACGUAACGUUUAUCAAUGAGUACGUGAACCUCCACAAUGAGCUCCGGGGCAACGUCUUGCCCCGAGGGGCUAACUUGCGCUUCAUGACUUGGGAUGUAGCUUUGUCACGGACUGCUAGAGCAUGGGGGAAAAAAUGUGUGUUUGAGCGUAAUAUUCAUUUAGAAGAACUAUAUAUGGCCCAUCCUAAAUUUAAUGGUAUUGGUGAAAAUAUAUGGGUCGGCCCUGAAAAUGAAUUUACUGCAAGUAUUGCUAUCAGAAGUUGGUUUCAACAGAGGAAAAAGUACAAUUUUGAAAAGAACAGUUGCUCUGAUAACUGUUCUAACUAUCUACAGAGGAGGUCUGUCGAGAAGGCCUUAUCA